rnacentral:lncRNA from 1 species
AGCUGUCCUUCUGAGGCGGGAACCGUGAGCCAAUUCAGCAGAAGAUUGUUAAGACAAGAUGAAGAUGUCGGCAUUUUUUACUAGCGAAGCACAUUCUUUGUUGAAAGGGUAAAAACUAGUUCACAAGGAAGAAAUCUCCUUUCAUCAUUAUAAAUUUAUGAUACACACUUGUCAUCAUACACAAUUAUUUGGUGGCUCUUUUAGGGGUAUUGAUAGGGGUCGGCUGUAUAGUAGACACCCUAUUAGGCAAGUGUAUGUUACAAAGAAUAAAAGAUCUAGCUAACUAUAACUAUAAAUAGUAGUUAGGUAAGGCAAUUACACACUUUUGGAGAAAUUAGAAGUUGGGGCUGAUUUAGGAAAUCAGUUUGGGGCAGUUAUCUUCUCUCAUAUGAUUCUCUCUCUUGUAUACACAUUCCCAUUGUAAUAAUACAUACUUACAGGUCAAGAUACAUUGAUCUUAUAUCAAUUCUCCUUCUUGACCAAGAUAAUAGGGCUAGCAUAGGGACUUAUACUCGGUCGAAUUACUCCAGCUUGUAACAUUUCCAUCACUAACCUUUCAAUCUCAGUCUGGUAGUGCGGAUACUUGUAUGGUCGGAUGUUCGGAAUCUCAGCUCCUUCUUUCAGAUGGAUGGCAUGAUCAUAUCUCCUCCUAGGGGGAAGACCCUACGGAUCCUCAAAAACCCCGCAAAUUGAUGCAAUACCCCCUCCACCACUUCCACAACAGGUUGAUCCGGUUUUGAUGGCUCCAUCGAUUCCACACAAUGCAACAUCAGUCCCUCCCCUUCUUCCUUCAGCAUUUACAUCAUGGCCCCAAAUGACAGUUGUAUUUUGUCAAAGUCAAAUCUCCUCAAAUCUUAUGCACCAACCCGCCUCAUUUCAGCAUCAACUCCAACCGGCCAAAAUCAGCUUUAACCUCUCCCAAGCUAGCUAACCAAUCCAACCCAAGAACCACAUCCACUCAUUUUAUUCCAAAAAGAUAAAACUCUUGGACCGCCUUCAAGUCUUGUACUAACAACUUCAGUGUUGUACACUUUCCUUGGCACCUGAUUUUAUGCCCAUCACCCACCUCCACCACAUAUGUGGGGGUUUCCACUAUAGCCAAUUGUAACUUCUACACCAAUUCCAAUGAAAGGAAACUGUGAAAGGCUCCACAAUCAAUCAAACUAACCACCUCAUCUCCUUUCACUCUACCCGCCACCUUCCAAGAUUUGGCUGAUGUCAAUUCUACCAUUGAGCAAAGAGAAAGCUGCAAGGCACGAAACUGCUCAACUCUCGGUUCAUCGUGUCCUUCUCCAUCGUUGUCCUCAUCUUCUUCCAAGAUAAGCCUUCUUAAUUGCUUAUUCUUUCAUCGAUGAUCCCUAUGAUACGGUUCAUCGCACUGAAAACAUAAGCCUUUCUCCUUUUUUCUCGCAUUUCUGCUCUAGUGAGUUGUUUGAAUCCUUCUCCUCUAGCCCGAGAUGCAUCCACCACACUAGCAAACCCCGCACUACUUUUAUCACUGCCGGUUGCACUUGCAUCAGAAAUUUUUCCAACUGAUCCCCUUAUAUCCAUGGUAGUUAAAAUCGCGUGCCGGCACGUGAGAUCGGAUGUUUUUACGUGUUCCAGCGGCGCAACCGUGCUCGAUCCCAUUAACGUGUUCCAGCGAAGGUGAAAUCGUGAAAUCGUCGUGUAAGAUCGUGGAAUCGGUGGAAUCGGCGCUUCCACCGUUCCUAGGUGCGGAGGUUCAAAGUUUUGGGCAUCAACCCGUUUCUUGACCCGGUUUGUAAAAAACCCUAAUUUCCUAAAUUAAAGAAUCAUUUCAGACUUUGAAGGGUAGAAGUGGGGAAGUAAAUUAAAAAAUAUUAGAAAACGUACAUAGUGAAGGUAAGAUCUUCUCCUUCUUCUUCUUAGAAAACCCUCUUCCUUUCUCUUUCUUUCUCUUCUUCUCCCUUUCGUUUCUCUCUCUUCUGUUUUAUUUUUCCUCUUUUUCUUUUCUUCUGCUAACAGUGUAUCAAUAUAUAUAAGUGGCGUG